rfam:Oryza glumipatula chromosome 12, whole genome shotgun sequence.
AAAAAAUACAGUUUUACACUAUUCAUCUUCAAUGUUUGACCGUUCGUUUUAUUUGAAAAAAAUUUAUGAUUACUAUUUUUAUUGCUAUUAGAUGAUAAAAUAUGAAUAGUACUUUAUGUGUGGCUAAUUUUUUAAAAAAAAAUUUUAAAUUUUUUAAAUAAGACGGACGGUCAAACGUUGGACAUGAAUUUUCACAACUGUAUUUAUU